AGAGUUUGAUCCUGGCUCAGGAUGAACGCUGGCGGCGUGCUUAAUACAUGCAAGUCGAACGGAGAGUAGCAAUACUCUGAGUGGCGAACGGGUGAGUAACGCGUUGGUACCUGCCCCAAAGCGGGGGAUAACGGGACGAAAGUCUCGCUAAUACCCCAUGUGCUCCGGAAGGAGGAAAGCCGAAAGGCACUUUGGGAGGGGCCUGCGUCCCAUCAGCUGGUUGGUGAGGUAACGGCUCACCAAGGCGAUGACGGGUAGGGGACCUGAGAGGGUGGCCCCCCACAAUGGAACUGAAACACGGUCCAUACACCUACGGGUGGCAGCAGUAGGGGAUAUUGGUAAUGGGCGAAAGCCUGAACCAGCAACGCCGCGUGUGCGAUGAAGGCCUUCGGGUUGUAAAGCACUUUUGACUGGGACGAGGAAGGACGGUACCAGUGGAAUAAGCCUCGGCUAACUACGUGCCAGCAGCCGCGGUAAAACGUAGGAGGCGAGCGUUAUCCGGAUUUACUGGGUGUAAAGCGCAUGCAGGCGGUCGGCUAAGUUGGGUGUGAAAGCUCCCGGCUCAACUGGGAGAGGUUGCUCAAGACUGGCGGACUAGAGGAUGGUAAGGGAAAGCGGAAUUCCGGGUGUAGUGGUGAAAUGCGUAGAUAUCCGGAGGAACACCAGUGGCGAAGGCGGCUUUCUGGACCGUGCCUGACGCUCAGAUGCGAAAGCUAGGGUAGCAAACGGGAUUAGAGACCCCGGUAGUCCUAGCCGUAAACGAUGUGAACUUGGCGGCGGAAGGGUAAAACCUUUCGGUGCCGAAGCCAACGCGAUAAGUUCACCACCUGGGGACUACGGCCGCAAGGUUAAAACUCAAAGGAAUUGACGG
rnacentral:rRNA from 1 species